GAUGAACGCUGGCGGCGUGCCUAAUACAUGCAAGUCGAGCGAACAGAUGAGGAGCUUGCUCCUCUGACGUUAGCGGCGGACGGGUGAGUAACACGUGGAUAACCUACCUAUAAGACUGGGAUAACUUCGGGAAACCGGAGCUAAUACCGGAUAAUAUAUUGAACCGCAUGGUUCAAUAGUGAAAGACGGUUUUGCUGUCACUUAUAGAUGGAUCCGCGCCGCAUUAGCUAGUUGGUAAGGUAACGGCUUACCAAGGCAACGAUGCGUAGCCGACCUGAGAGGGUGAUCGGCCACACUAGAACUGAGACACGGUCCAGACUCCUACGGGAGGCAGCAGUAGGGAAUCUUCCGCAAUGGGCGAAAGCCUGACGGAGCAACGCCGCGUGAGUGAUGAAGGGCUUCGGAUCGUAAAACUCUGUUAUUAGGGAAGAACAAAUGUGUAAGUAACUAUGCACGUCUUGACGGUACCUAAUCAGAAAGCCACGGCUAACUACGUG
rnacentral:rRNA from 1 species